AUUGAACGCUGGCGGCAUGCCUUACACAUGCAAGUCGAACGGCAGCACGGGAGCAAUCCCGGUGGCGAGUGGCGAACGGGUGAGUAAUAUAUCGGAACGUGCCCAGUCGUGGGGGAUAACGUAGCGAAAGCUACGCUAAUACCGCAUACGAUCCAUGGAUGAAAGCGGGGGAUCGCAAGACCUCGCGCGAUUGGAGCGGCCGAUAUCAGAUUAGCUAGUUGGUGGGGUAAAAGCCCACCAAGGCGACGAUCUGUAGCUGGUCUGAGAGGACGACCAGCCACACGGGAACUGAGACACGGUCCAGACUCCUACGGGAGGCAGCAGUGGGGAAUUUUGGACAAUGGGCGAAAGCCUGAUCCAGCAAUGCCGCGUGCAGGACGAAGGCCUUCGGGUUGUAAACUGCUUUUGUACGGAGCGAAACGGUCCUCUCUAAUACAGGGGGCUAAUGACGGUACCGUAAGAAUAAGCACCGGCUAACUACGUGCCAGCAGCCGCAGUAA
rnacentral:rRNA from 1 species